UACGAAGGGGCUAGGCGUUGCUCGGAAUCACUGGGCGUAAAGCGCACGUAGGCGGAUUGUUAAGUCAGGGGUGAAAUCCUGGAGCUCAACUCCAGAACUGCCUUUGAUACUGGCGAUCUUGAGUCCGGGAGAGGUGAGUGGAACUGCGAGUGUAGAGGUGAAAUUCGUAGAUAUUCGCAAGAACACCAGUGGCGAAGGCGGCUCACUGGCCCGGUACUGACGCUGAGGUGCGAAAGCGUGGGGAGCAACAGG
rnacentral:rRNA from 1 species